CCGCUCCCUACCAACGAGCCGCCGGAUCUCCCCGUGAGGAGGCCGGGGCCAUCGGAUCCAGUGACCUCGUUCUCCUUGCCGGCGGAUCCGGCAGCCCAGAGAAAGGAACGA
rfam:Oryza barthii chromosome 11, whole genome shotgun sequence.